rnacentral:rRNA from 1 species
UACGAGGGGGGCAAGCGUUGUUCGGAAUUACUGGGCGUAAAGGGCGCGUAGGCGGUCCGAUAAGUCCCGUGUGAAAGCCCCCGGCUCAACUGGGGAACUGCACGGGAAACUGACGGACUUGAGUUCGGGAGAGGGAAGCGGAAUUCCGGGUGUAGCGGUGAAAUGCGUAGAUAUCCGGAGGAACACCGGUGGCGAAGGCGGCUUCCUGGACCGACACUGACGCUGAGGCGCGAAAGCUAGGGGAGCAAACGGG